rnacentral:rRNA from 1 species
GACGAACGCUGGCGGCGUGCUUAACACAUGCAAGUCGAACGGAAAGGCCCUGCUUUUGUGGGGUGCUCGAGUGGCGAACGGGUGAGUAACACGUGAGUAACCUGCCCUUGACUUUGGGAUAACUUCAGGAAACUGGGGCUACUACCGGAUAGGAGCUCCUGCUGCAUGGUGGGGGUUGGAAAUUUUCGGCGGUUGGGGAUGGACGCGCGGCUGAUCAGCUUGUUGGUGGGGUAGUGGCUUACCAAGGCUUUGACGGGUAGCCGGCCUGAGAGGGUGACCGGCCACAUUGGGACUGAGAUACGGCCCAGACUCCUACGGGAGGCAGCAGUGGGGAAUAUUGCACAAUGGGCGGAAGCCUGAUGCAGCAACGCCGCGUGCGGGAUGACGGCCUUCGGGUUGUAAACCGCUUUCGCCUGUGACGAAGCGUGAGUGACGGUAAUGGGUAAAGAAGCACCGGCUAACUACGUG